rfam:TPA: Bos taurus chromosome 15, whole genome shotgun sequence.
AUAAAGGUUUUUCUAAAAACUACAGACACACAGAUAAAGAAGGCUU